CGAACUGCAGAACUGCAGUCAGCUGAAGUAGCCUGCAGUGCUGCAUUUAACCACUGCGCCACCUCGGCUCUAGUAGUAAAGUGGCAACUCUUCCUGAAUUUGUCGAGGCCCAGAAAACUGGCACUAGAAAUAACUAUAUAGUUUCCGAACAGGUUUUUUUUCCCCCACCCCUCCCAGCAGCUUUGGUAAUUCUCUAGUUGUCUGCAAGGCUGAAUUUGGUUUUCUUAAAACACUUCUUAGAUGUCCGUGGCCAGCAAUCGACUAUAUUAAAGAAAUAUUUAACUUACCCAAACUUACCCAAGAGUGGAAAAACAAAAACCCGCCUUCUUGAUUGUCUGAACUGGGACUAUACAUCACUCACCUUGAAGAGAGCUGCUUAGAUUCCUGAGUGUUUAGAAUCCAUUAAGGCAGUGGUUAUGAUGACUCAGGAAAUAAUUGAUAUUGAUAACAUAACAACAAUGACCAUAAUAUGAUGCACCUUCGUAGCAACUCGGUCUUACAGAAUACAGCAAGUUCUUAUUUGGCUUCCCCCCCCUCACCCAACCCCCGUUUUCAAAUCAUCUGGAGAAAUGGACAGGAAGUCCUCGACUUACAACCGCCACUAGACUUCCAAGUCGUAAGUCGUUUGCGGCCCUUCAGUUGAACCAGACCGGUUUUUAAUGAUCGUGUUUAUGAGCUGUCGUUAACUUUUCUCAAGGACGUUGUAACGACUUCGAACC